GGCCGUUAGACCACACCUAGACCUGCGCCUCGAUCUGCUCGCCUGGGGAGAUAUUUCUCAUGACGUGACAUUCCCACACUCUCCCAAGAGAUCGAGGAUUCACUUUUUCUUUAAGACUUCAAACAAUGCGCAUGAGAUGCAGGGAGACGGAGACGCGCGCACACCCUGUCUGACACAGACACUCAACAUUUAGAGGACUUUCGCCUGUGCAUGUGUCAUCGACACACCCACCUCACCCAGUCACACACCCUUUCAACUCCUUUGAGACCGAAGAGACCUUCUCGUUUUGCCUUUUCUCUUGUGUCCUUGUCUUGUAUAGACUUCUUAAGAACGGCUUGCCAGUUUAAUUAAUGCAAUUGAAAAAUCAUAAACAUACAUUUCCCCUA